AGCGAACGCUAGCGGCAUGCUUAACACAUGCAAGUCGCACGAAGGUUUCGGCCUUAGUGGCGGACGGGUGAGUAACGCGUAGGAAUCUAUCCAUGGGUGGGGGAUAACACUGGGAAACUGGUGCUAAUACCGCAUGAUACCUGAGGGUCAAAGGCGCAAGUCGCCUGUGGAGGAGCCUGCGUUCGAUUAGCUAGUUGGUGGGGUAAAGGCCUACCAAGGCGAUGAUCGAUAGCUGGUUUGAGAGGAUGAUCAGCCACACUGGGACUGAGACACGGCCCAGACUCCUACGGGAGGCAGCAGUGGGGAAUAUUGGACAAUGGGGGCAACCCUGAUCCAGCAAUGCCGCGUGUGUGAAGAAGGUCUUCGGAUUGUAAAGCACUUUCGACGGGGACGAUGAUGACGGUACCCGUAGAAGAAGCCCCGGCUAACUUCGUGCCAGCAGCCGCCGCGG
rnacentral:rRNA from 1 species